CAGCCGCCGCGGUAAUACGUAGGUGGCAAGCGUUGUCCGGAAUUAUUGGGCGUAAAGCGCGCGCAGGCGGAUAGGUCAGUCUGUCUUAAAAGUUCGGGGCUUAACCCCGUGAUGGGAUGGAAACUGCCAAUCUAGAGUAUCGGAGAGGAAAGUGGAAUUCCUAGUGUAGCGGUGAAAUGCGUAGAUAUUAGGAAGAACACCAGUGGCGAAGGCGACUUUCUGGACGAAAACUGACGCUGAGGCGCGAAAGCCAGGGGAGCGAACGGGAUUAGAUACCCCUGUAGUCCCUGUCUCUUAUACA
rnacentral:rRNA from 1 species